rnacentral:rRNA from 1 species
CAAUAGCGUAUAUUAAAGUUGUUGCGGUUAAAAAGCUCGUAGUUGGAUUUCUGUUGAGAACGUCCGGUCCGCACUAUGUGCGUGUAUCUGGUUCGGUCUUGGCAUCCUCUUGAGGAACGUAUCUGCGCUUGAUUGCGUGGAGCGGUAUUCAAGACUUUUACUUUGAGGAAAUUAGAGUGUUCACGGCAGGCAAGCGCCUUGAAUACGUUAGCAUGGAAUAAUAAUAUAGGAUCUUGGUUCUAUUUUGUUGGUUUCUAGGGCUAAGGUAAUGAUUAAUAGGGAUAAUUGGGGGCAUUUGUAUUAACGCGUCAGAGGUGGAAUUCUUGGAUUGCGUUACGACAAACUACUGCGAAAGCAUUUGCCAAGGAUGUUUUCAUUAA